AAUGCAAAUAUGUUGAGAUAGGGGGGUUUGAACUAAAUUCUGAAGGAGGGCAAUGGUUUUCUACCGAUAAUCAUAAUUACUGCGAUAAGCCGUGGCAUACUAAAAUAAUUAAAAAGAAAAAUUAAAGAUUUUUGGUAAUCUCAGAAGAGACUUUGGUGUGAAGCUAACGGGAUAUGCAGACGAUCCCGCUAUAAUCGUAUAAGGAAAAUUUAAUAAACAAGAAGACCAAAAUAUUUACGUGAACACUAAAUUUAAGCCAAAAGAGCUGGGUCUGGAUCUGAAUCCAGGCACGAUGGAGUUAGUAUUAUUCGUCAAGUCUGGGAUCUGUGUAGUAUACUAAACUAAACGAAAUCAGAUGAGCUGGCAGCUUCCAACUUAAGUGUGAGUAACUUCAUGGAUACCCAUGGCUGGCCAACAAAAGGAAGGACCUGUUCUGACCCGACUGCACUCGAUAUGAACAACUGGGGCUAAUACGCCAAGGAGAGAGCCCCAUCAAGCUACCAACCUUCUAUGUCCAUACAAUGCGCCAUGGGAAUCGUCUAUUAUUCGAAACCGUGCUGGUAAUCUUUUUCUCUCAGCUGCUUCAGGCGUAGGAUCUAGCGAACAAGGCGGAUGGUUAAAUACUGGAA